rnacentral:rRNA from 1 species
UACGUAGGUGGCAAGCGUUUGUCCGGAAUUAUUGGGCGUAAAGCGCGCGUAGGCGGCCCGAUAAGUCUGCUGUGAAAGUCCAGGGCUCAACCCUGGAAUGCCGGUGGAUACUGUCGGGCUAGAGUUCGGAAGAGGCAAGUGGAAUUCCUGGUGUAGCGGUGGAAUGCGCAGAUAUCAGGAGGAACACCUAUAGCGAAGGCAGCUUGCUGGGACGACACUGACGCUGAGGCGCGAAAGCGUGGGGAGCGAACAGG